rnacentral:lncRNA from 1 species
CUUUGGAGUCAAACCCAAGUAUUGAGCUCAAGCUAUGUGAAGUGAAGUUUUUGCUUCCAAUUUUCGAUAAUAGAAUUCAUACUUUCCUAUUUCACCAUUAAAAUAUAAUUCCAAUUUCAAAUAGUUUAUUUUGAUGUUAAUUUUUCAUUUACACGAAAUUGAUUUUGAGAAAAUAAAUAUAUUAUAUUAAUCUACCCGUAGAAGAGAACACAAUCAAAAUAUUGUAUCCGAUUACUCAAAUGAUUGGCCAAAGGUCAGUUAAACCGACUUAUUUUAAUAACCAAUUUCCAAGUAAACAUGCAUGGUUUCAAUCUAACCCUUUUCUUAAUUCUUCCUAAUUAUUGAUUUUGUUAAUUCUUUUGCUUGGUCUGGGGGUGGCUCUUCUCCAUUGGGAAGCAUAUCCAUAAACAAAGAUCCAUCUGUAGCUUCUCCAAUCUUCCUCGUUGCAUGAAAUUCUGCAGUCAGUUUCUCUCUCUCUUUAGUAUUGUCUCUUGCGGUGGUCGGGAUAUCUUGUUCAUUCUUGUCUGAAAAUAGGACGUUCUCUUCUCCCGGGAAGGCUCCGUUGAUGGUUCUGCAGGUGGCUGGUGAAAGUUGGCAAAUGAAGAAGCAAAUCAGCAGAAUAGCAGCAGUGAACUGGGAAUUUUUUAGGCUUUGUUUGCCCAUUAUAGAGAAAUCUUUAAAAGAAAGAAAUUCAAGAAAGAUUAUCACAAAAGGCUCUUUUUUCUGAUGUAGAGGUAGAAAGGGUUGAGGAUUUAUAUAGAGAAGAGAAGAAAUGGGGUGCCAUUGCCAACUGCG